rnacentral:rRNA from 1 species
UACGGAGGAUGCGAGCGUUAUCCGGAUGUAUUGGGUUUAAAGGGUGCGCAGGCGGCACGGCAAGCCGGCGGUCAAAUCGCGGGGCUCAACCCCGCCCAGCCGUCGGAACUGCCGGGCUAGAGUGGGCGAGAAGUGCGCGGAAUGCGUGGUGUAGCGGUGAAAUGCAUAGAUAUCACGCAGAACUCCGAUUGCGAAGGCAGCGCACCGGCGCCCUACUGACGCUCAGGCACGAAAGCGUGGGUAUCGAACAGG